CAAACAUCGCCUCUCCUUCCCAGUGUCGUUCGUCCCCUCCCCCGCUGCAGCGUCGUCCUCUCCUUCUCUUUCUCCUGGAUUCACCGCCUGCAGAGUUUUCUUCCGCCGCCGCUGCGUGUUCCUCAACAGAGUUGGUCAUUCUCAUUCGCAUCAUGUCUCCGAAAAAGCAACCAUCAAUUAAUUUUAACUGGACGCGACCUAUGGAUGAUGCUCUUGUUGAUGCAUUCCUACGUGAGUUCAACAAAGGAAAUAAAGUCAAUGGUUCAUUUACUUCUACGGCAUAUCAAAAUAUUGUUGCAAAGUUAAGUGCUAUAUUUGAUCUUAACACUGACAAAGAGAAGAUAAAAAGUCGUUAGAAAAUGUUGAAGAAGAACUUCUCGGAUGCUCACGAUAUAUUUCAAAGUGGUACGAACGGAUUUACUUGGAAUCCUUCUACUCAAUCGUGGAAUGCCAAACCGGGAGUUUGGGAUGCUUUAAUAGAGUCAAAACCUAAAGCUGCAUAUUGGAGGAAUAGAUUUUCCCACACUAUGAGAAAAUGGUGAUAAUUUAUGGUAAUGACCGAACAAUUGCAGAAGGUGCUGAAACUCCAUCAAAUAUAAGAAAACACCAACAGUCAACUAGUGCAAAAGGCUUUGUUAGCGUCGAAGACUUGAAUAAUUUAUUUGCUCAAAAUGAGGCGACUUUGGAUGAUAGUCAUACUUUCGAUGACUUCUCUACGGAUGAUUUGUGUAAUUUAUCAGCUCACGAAAGCAAUUGACAAAAUCCGUUACGCGAAGCAACUAGUGGAAGCAAGAGCGAAAAGCAAAAAAAGUUCAAAGGGAAAGGCAAUGAAAUUAAGGAAAUCGGAGAAGGAUUGAAAGAAGUGGCAAAAGCAAUACAACAAAGUAACACUAUAAUGGAAAAGAUUGCCAAUGUUAUGGAGAAGAAAGUGAAUAGUAAUGCACUUUCUGGAGAACAAAUUUGGAAUUUGAUAAAGGGAUGCGGAGUUGUUGAGGAAUACUUGGUUCGAACUUAUUGUUUUCUCAUGAACAAUCCGAAUCAACUUCGUGCAAUUAUUGAGUGUCCACUUGAUGUCCGAAAGUCUGGUGUUUAUCUUUUUUCCUAUUAUUUAUAUUUAUAGAGUUUGAUAAAAUGUAAAUUUGUAGUUUUUUUUUUUUUUAAUGAAUAGUUCAAAAUU